UUUGCCAUAUUUGAUCUCAUUAUACAUGAACACAUAUGUCACUGUCCAGGUUUGAUGUAUUUGAUUAUCAUCAUAUGGUCAUGUUGGGUGGCUCUCUGUCCAGCAGGUAGCGCCCUCGCAACGUGAAUUAUCAUGCAGUUAAACUCCGUGAUAAAACAUUCCAGCAACGUUUGCCAUGAAAUUAGCUCCAUUGUACAAACAUCCGGAAGAAGAUGCAGACUUGAUUGCUGUCAGCGGAGAAGAAUUGUUUAAAUAGGAGAUUCGCUGCUGGAUUGCUCGCAAUCUUCCUGCUCUGUUCCGGUGGCUAAAAGCUUGAACGCUGCUCGGUUGACCUGUUCAGGUCCAUGCCUCGCUCGGGACGCCAGCAUUCUUCACCAAUGCACAUUUGAGUUUAAGUUUAUGUCUUCUGUUACACUCAACACUUGCACUCAUACACAUCAUACAUCCAUGCAUUUGCCCUACACUACUGAUAUUGACAUUCACACACCCCA